UACAAGUGAUGAAAAUGAUUCUGCCAUAUGAUUACAGCUGAUUAUGCUCUAUACCGUUCCACUUUUUUUCUGAGGUA